CGGGCGGUAGCGCAGUCUGGCUAGCGCAUCUGCUUUGGGAGCAGAGGGUCGUGGGUUCGAAUCCCACUCGCCCGACCA
rnacentral:tRNA from 1 species